UACGUAGGCAGCGAGCGUUGUUCGGAGUUACUGGGCGUAAAGAGUGCGUAGGCGGUUUUCUAAGUUUGGUGUGAAAUCUCCCGGCUCAACUGGGAGGGUGCGCCGAAGACUGGAAGGCUUGAGUAUGGGAGAGGUAAGCGGAAUUCCUGGUGUAGCGGUGAAAUGCGUAGAUAUCGGAAGGAACAUCAGUGGCGAAAAGCGGCUUCCUGGACCAGCACCGACGUCAGGCACGAAAGCGUGGGGAGCAAACAGG
rnacentral:rRNA from 1 species